CCUACGGGCGGCAGCAGUGGGGAAUAUUGCACAAUGGGGGAAACCCUGAUGCAGCGACGCCGCGUGAAGGAAGAAGUAUUUCGGUAUGUAAACUUCUAUCAGCAGGGAAGAAAAUGACGGUACCUGACUAAGAAGCCCCGGCUAACUACGUGCCAGCAGCCGCGGUAAUACGUAGGGGGCAAGCGUUAUCCGGAUUUACUGGGUGUAAAGGGAGCGUAGGCGGUAUUGCAAGUCGGAUGUGAAAGCUUGGGGCUCAACACCAGGACUGCAUUGGAAACUGGAAAGCUGGAUGACAGGAGAGGUAAGAGGAAUUACGAGUGGAGAGGGGAAAUGAGUAGAUAUUAGGAGGAACAGCAGUGGCGAAGGCGGAUGACUGGACUGUAAAGGACGUUGAGGCUAGAAAGCGUGGGGAGCAAACAGGAUGAGAUACACUAGUAGGC
rnacentral:rRNA from 1 species